rnacentral:rRNA from 1 species
ACCUGANUGCUAUNGGAUUGUACUAANNCAUGCGAGUCGUUGUAGCAAUACAAGGCGGGACGGCUCAGUAACACGUAGUCAACCUUAACCUAUGGGACGGUGAUAACCCUCGGGAACUGAGAAUAAACGCGAUAGAUCAUAAUGCCUGAAAUGGCUUAUGGUUAAAAUAAUUUUAUUGCCGUAGGGAUGGGACUGCGGCCUAUCAGCUUUGUUGGUGAGGGUAAUGGCCCCACCAGGCUAUAACAGGUACGGGCUCUGAGAAGGAGAAGCCCGGAGAUGGGUACUGAGACACGGACCCAGGCCCUAUGGGGCGCAGCAGGCGAGAAACCUUAGCAAUGUGCGAAAGCACGACUAGGUUAAUCCGAGUGAUUUUCUGUUGAAGAAAUCUUUUGUCAGUCGUAAAACCACAGACGAAUAAGGGGUGGGCAAGUCUGGUGUCAGCCGCCGCGGUAAUACCAGCACCUCGAGUGGUCAGGAGGUUUAUUGGGCCUAAAGCAUCCGUAGCCGGCUAUGCAAGUCUCCGGUUAAAUCCAACUGCUCAACAGAUGGGCUGCCGGAGAUACUACACAGCUAGGGAGCGGGAGAGGUAGACGGUAUUCUGUGGGUAGGGGUAAAAUCCACUGAUCCAUAGAGGACCACCAGUGGCGAAGGCGGUCUACCAGAACGCGUUCGACGGUGAGGGAUGAAAGCUGGGGGAGCAAACCGGAUUAGAUACCCGGGUAGUCCCAGCUGUAAACGAUGCAAACUCGGUGAUGCAUUGACUUAUGGUCAAUGCAGUGCCGCAGGGAAGCCGUUAAGUUUGCCGCCUGGGAAGUACGGACGCAAGUCUGAAACUUAAAGGAAUUGGCGGGGGAGCACCACAAGGGGUGAAGCCUGCGGUUCAAUUGGAGUCAACGCCGGGAA